CACAAAAACAGAUACAGAUGACCCCGUGACACACAGAAAGAUGCGUGUUUGGAAUAUAACAUGAAGUGAUAUAAAGUGAAUGAACGGGUUCGAACACAUUCAGGAUGAGUAUGUGAGAGUGGUGUAAGAGCGAAGGAAAUGACAGUAGGCUGGACACACAAACCUAGAAAGAGCCAGCCCUGGAAUGUGGAAACAAUCGACUAAAUCCCAGUAGUUAAGAAAACAACCAAACGAAUCCCUCCUGUAAAAUCGCAGGAUGAAACCCGUUCGAGUCCAGAUGAGGACAGAAGAAAACAGAAGACCUGAAUAUGAAUGGAAGAGCUGGUAUGUGAAACCACAGCAACAAAAUGGCAAUUUAUAAAGGUGACACAAUGGAGUUCAAGGACCGUCAGGGAUAAACUGUAGGUGAACCUGAAGACAAAUGCAGCAUAUCUCCAAGAGUCAUACAGUCAGGAUUAAUUCUCCCGUAUCCCCGAUGAGACAGGGGUCAUUGUUCUGCUUGUUUGGGUUUGAAAUGCAAGGGAUUAGUUAUGUUUUACUCUCAUGGUGUAAGGUACUGUACAAAGAAAUCGAGCGGCUUUUCUAAUUGGUGUAAUGAAACUUCUAAACUAUGUCUGUGAACAUUACACAUAAACCUGCAAAUCGGAUAUUAGUAUAAGCCUGCAUGAUGUAGAAAUAGAUUAAUGUUUGGUAUGUCAAGCAAAAGGCACAUGUAUUUUACAAGGUUAUUGUUUUCCAAUCAUAACUUGAAAGGUGUUUUUUCUUUUCAAUAAAGACUCAAUAAUUUAACUGA